rnacentral:lncRNA from 10 species
AGAGAUGGGCCUAGGCUCCCAGCCUGCAUCUUUCUCCUGAGCUGGAUGCCUCCUGCCCUUGAACAUCAGACUGCAAGUUCUUUAGUUUUGGGACUCUGACUGGCUCUCCUUGCUCCUCAGCUUGCAGACAGCCUAUUGUGGGACCUUGUGAUUCUGUAAGUUAACACUUAACAAACUCUCCUUUAUAUAUAUAUAUAUAUAUAUGUGUGUGUGUGUGUGUGUGUGUGUGUGUGUGUAUAUAUCCCACAUACAUAUCCUAUAUAUAUUAUAACAAGGAUAUGUAUUAUAUAUAAUAUCCUAUAUACAGGAUAAAAAUUAUAUGUAUAUAAUCCUAUUAGUUCUGUCCCUCUAAGAGAAACCUGACUAAUACAGAUGGUGAUGCAGGUUCGACCCAGGGGACAGGGAAGGAAGGCAGGCUGGGUGGAUGUGUGUUAGGCUGCAGUGCCGGUCUAAGGAAAAUCUGAUGAAACUGUCUGUCAGAUGACUCAACGUCUCCCAGGAAUGAGCCUGCUUUAGUGUCCCUGUUGUGCUCAGCCACUGACUGGGUCAGAAUGUGGGAAGCAUGGCCUUGGAACAAACAUGGUGAUGGAUUUCAGAGAGCAGCAGCUGGAGCCAUCAGUCAGUUACUGUUUGUGGGCAGAGAUCUGAGAGGAACAUUCUCAUGGACACCUGUGGCGACUUUGUAAUGUGUCAACUCAAGCUAGUCUAAAGUACAUUUCUCAAGACUCCCUUACCCACAAUUCUGGUUAGGUGAGACACAAGAGUUCUUUUCAUGCAAGAUUUGGAAAGCAGGAUGUGAGGGCAAUCCGGCUGCGACAUCUGUCACCCCACUAAUCACCAGAGUUGAUUUCAGCUGAUCUAGCUGGCUAGAUUGGUAUUAACUUCCUCCCUCACUGCUCUGUGUGCAUCUCUCCCAAAGCUGUGUGCUUGGUCAAAGAGGACGACCCUCCCUAAUAGAGGAGGACCACUCUUUGGUCAAGAAUAUACGAGUAGCUGUGCUUCCCUCACAGAAUCCCCAAACAAGCUCUCAAGAUUUUGGAGAGCAAAAGAGAGGCAGCAGCCAUUUUAUUUUUACAUUCAAGACAAGCAGGCGCUUUUAUAGAUCAUAUACAUUGUCAUUAUCUACUGCUUCACACCAUUGUCAUGGGGCAGGAGCCAGGCCUACAACUGACCCUCAUUCCCUUAGAUCUUCCUGCAGGCUCUCCAACUCCUAGGUCAGGUGAGUGUUUAGCUCUAAGAAAAAAGAAAUCAACUUCUUCUGCAGGACACUUGUCACAAGAUUGGAGGCAGUGAACAUGAAUGAUUCCAGUUCAUCUUCAUGGGUUCCAGCCUGUGCUCAUAGGUUCCAGAUUGUUUUUGUUCCCCACCACUUUACAUAAAUCUUCACUUUCAACUUCCUGCCCUAUGGACUUCACGCUCAUCUGUUUACAUCAGAUGUGAAAACAACAGUCUUACAGAAUUUAUUUAACCAACUUCUACUUGGGAAAGGUAAAAUCCCUGUAGUAAAUCCCUUACUAUACACCCCUGGUCUUCCUCAGCACUCUCUGCUUUUCUGAUGGACCUUCCACUGGUAGCAGAUGAGCUGGAAGUCCAGGAGGGAUGUUACCCAGAAAAAAUGUGGAACUGAGAGUUACGUAUUGCUGUUUCAAGAAAGAGUUUAUAAUCUGUCAGAGAAUUUAGACAUAUGUUGGUAACCAACAUUUUAAAAAUUAAGAAACAAGGUAAAGUAUUAAUUCCAGGAAAACAAAAUAAUGCCUAAAAAAAAUUUAAGCAUUAGGACAUGGUAUGAUUCAGGCAUAAAAAUACUUAUGCGAUCAUAAUAAUGAAAACAUGCAUAAUGAUUUCAGCAAAUACCACAAAAACCUACACUAGUAAGAUGAAGAUAAGGGAAGUAGAUGAGAGAAGGAAUGGGAUUAUAGAGCUAAAUCCUGAUGUGUUAUAGCAGAUAUGAUUAGAUCACAGCUUUAAAUAUAGAUACGUACACGUUAUUUAGAAUUGUACACAUCUAAUACAGGUAUCUACGUACAUGCAUUUAGAAAUAUGAAAGUAAAUAUUUCUACAAUUUUUUAACAAAAAUUGGCUAACAUAGCUAACAGGAUUGCUCCCAAAGAGUGAGGCAAGAGUGUGGGACAGGGUGAGAAGUAUGAUUGUUGCAAGUGCUACUGCAAAUAUUUCACACUAUUUUUUUUAAGAGAUUGGGGUCUUACUAUGUUGUCCAAGCUGGCCUUGAACUCCUGGGCUCAAGCAAUCCUUCUGCUUCACCUCCCAAGUAGCUGGUACUAUAAGCAUAUGCCAUCAUACCCAGCUCUUUCACGCUUUUAACCUACAUACAUGUUUUACUGUAGUAAAAAGAAACAUUAAAUUACAAAAACUCAAAGUUAGUAUAACUGAAAAUAAAAAACUAUGACUUAGUAAGUUAGCAAAACAAAAAAAGAAAGGCAGAAACUUAACAAUACCAAGUCUAAACUACUUCGAGUUCAAAAACAAGCACUCAAUUAAUGCUGAGGUACAUAUUCACAGUGGUAAAACUAUAAAGACAAUUAAGAAAGUUAACAUAAAAAGGAAGGAUCAUAGUUUUCCCUAAAGGGUAGGGGAAGGUUUGUGACAGGAACUGAGAUACUCAUAAUGUUCUAUUUCUUAUACCAAAUAGAUAACGUGUGUGUGUGUGUGUGUGUGUGUGUGUGUGUGUGUGUGUGUGUAUGUGUGUGCAUGCAUGAAUGUGUGUUUUAUGGACUCUGGAGAGCAGGGAAACACUAAGGACCCAACAGAAACUCCAGAACACAGUUGCGGAGCUCCUCAUGCUAUCCAUGAGGUUUAGUUUUUUCCAAGUCCUUCAUACUCCAGGUAACAUCACGAUUUGCUGCUACAUGAUAUUGAAACGUAUCUUUUAUCUUAGAACAAAAAUGAAACAGAAUUGUAUGUAUGGCAGGUAUGAGAAAAUCUUAUGCAAACAUAUAGAAAUUUAGACUGUUCACAUGUAUGAGUAAUUUUUAAAUUAAAAAGUACACUAUCAUUCUAUUACCAUAAUUUUUUAAAUGUUUUAUUAUGCUGGCAUGAGUCACUACACCCAGCCCUAUCACCAUAAAUUUUAACAGUAAAUAAAUAUUGAAAAGAAAGAAAGGUUAAAACUAGCCUUUAAGUAAACGUGUCAGAAAUAUAUCUAAGAAAACAGGCUAUUUGAUAUCAUGCCACUGGAUUACAACCCACUGAGAAACAGGUGGGGGCAUCAUAAAUUCAAAAUGCCAAAAAGUCACUAUAAAACACUUUUUAUAUAAAUCAUUUAACUAUUAAGUAAACAAUUGCUUAUUUAAAAAUCCAGAUGAAGGCGAGGCACAAUGGCUCACACCUAUAAUCCCAUGUCUUUCGGAGGCCAAGGCAGGCAGAUCCCUGGAGCCCAGGAGUUUCAGAGCAGCCUGGCCAAUAUGGCAAAACCCUGUCUCUACAAAAAACACAAAAAUUAGCAGAGCAUGGUAGCAUAUGCCAGUAGUCUCAGCUACUCAGGAGGCUGAGGCAGGAGGAUCGAUUGAACCUAGAAGGUCUAGGCCCCAGUGAACCAUGAUUGCGCUACUGCACUCAAGCAUGGGUGACAGAGCAAAACCCUGUCUCAAAAAAAAAAAAAAAAAAAAAAUCCAGUUGAAGCAGAAAGAUACAUGGACACCAACCUACCUUUUAAACAACUGAUAACAAUGAAGCCUUUAAAAGGCCAUUUUAUGACUGGGCCUGGUGGUUCACGCCUGUAAUCUCAACAUUUUAGGAGGCGUAAAGGGGAGGAUAGCUUGAGGCCAGAAGUUCCAGACAAGCCUGGCAACAUAGUGAGACCCUAUCUCUACAAAAUAAAAAUAAAUAAUAGAUAAAAGGUCAUUCAAAAGGACGGUUAAAAAGCUAACUAGGGCCGGGCAUGGUGGUUCAUGUCUAUAAUCCUCGCACUUUGGGAGGCCAAGGUAGGUGGAUUGC